rnacentral:rRNA from 1 species
CAUAAAUAAAUCAAAACUUUCAACAACGGAUCUCUUGGUUCUGGCAUCGAUGAAGAACGCAGCAAAAUGCGAUAAGUAAUGUGAAUUGCAGAAUUCAGUGAAUCAUCGAAUCUUUGAACGCACAUUGCGCCCGCCAGUAUUCUGGCGGGCAUGCC